CGCGCAUAGCUGCCCUUGCUUUUUGGCCAGGCAGAGGAGAGAUAACCAGAUAGAAAAUGAGUCGACUUCCGUGGAGCAGAGAGGAGCACACAUGAGCUCAGACACCCCACCAGGGCACUCUCAGAACAGCCUGAAGAAAGGCCAGGACCGCUAGGGCAGCCAAGAACAUCUAUUAAGUGCCGACUGUUUAAGACCGGGACCAAGGCCAUCCCUGAUGUCAUGGAAGAUUUCUGGUGCCAAGAGGCAGGCGAACUGCACAGCAGCUGGAAAACUAAAAAUUAAGCAAGAGGCACAAAAUACCACGUAUUGGGCCCCAAGAAGCUUCCUCCUCUGUGCAAAUUCUAAAGGAGAGUAGUCGCAGCUGAUAAAAACAGGGUGUCUGAAAAACUCUGGCUGGUUUCCAAGACUGCUUCAAUGAGAAAAGAAUAAAACUUCUCAUUUUC